rnacentral:ncRNA from 2 species
ACGACCCUGGCGGGAGAGACCGGGACCGCGUGACAGCGGAACCGGCGCCGAAGGAGCAAACGCCCCGGAAACUCUCAGGCCAAAGGACCGUCAGGGUAAG